rnacentral:rRNA from 1 species
AGUGGCGGACGGGUGAGUAACGCGUAAGAAUCUAACUUCAGGACGGGGACAACAGUGGGAAACGACUGCUAAUACCCGAUGUGCCGCAAGGUGAAACCUAAUUGGCCUGGAGAAGAGCUUGCGUCUGAUUAGCUAGUUGGUGGGGUAAAGGCCUACCAAGGCGACGAUCAGUAGCUGGUCUGAGAGGAUGAGCAGCCACACUGGGACUGAGACACGGCCCAGACUCCUACGGGAGGCAGCAGUGGGGAAUUUUCCGCAAUGGGCGAAAGCCUGACGGAGCAACGCCGCGUGAGGGAGGAAGGUCUUUGGAUUGUAAACCUCUUUUCUCAAGGAAGAAGUUCUGACGGUACUUGAGGAAUCAGCCUCGGCUAACUCCGUGCCAACAGCCGCGGUAAUACGGGGGAGGCAAGCGUUAUCCGGAAUUAUUGGGCGUAAAGCGUCCGCAGGUGGUCAGCCAAGUCUGCCGUCAAAUCAGGUUGCUUAACGACCUAAAGGCGGUGGAAACUGGCAGACUAGAGAGCAGUAGGGGUAGCAGGAAUUCCCAGUGUAGCGGUGAAAUGCGUAGAGAUUGGGAAGAACAUCGGUGGCGAAAGCGUGCUACUGGGCUGUAUCUGACACUCAGGGACGAAAGCUAGGGGAGCGAAAGGGAUUAGAUACCCCUGUAGUCCUAGCCGUAAACGAUGGAUACUAGGCGUGGCUU